CCUACGGGAGACAGCAGUAGGGAAUCUUCCACAAUGGGCGAAAGCCUGAUGGAGCAACGCCGCGUGGGUGAAGAAGGUCUUCGGAUCGUAAAACCCUGUUGUUAGAGAAGAAAGUGCGUGAGAGUAACUGUUCACGUUUCGACGGUAUCUAACCAGAAAGCCACGGCUAACUACGUGCCAGCAGCCGCGGUAAUACGUAGGUGGCAAGCGUUAUCCGGAUUUAGUGGGCGUAAAGGGAACGCAGGCGGUCUUUUAAGUCUGAUGUGAAAGCCUUCGGCUUAACCGGAGUAGUGCAUUGGAAACUGGGAGACUUGAGUGCAGAAGAGGAGAGUGGAACUCCAUGUGUAGCGGUGAAAUGCGUAGAUAUAUGGAAGAACACCAGUGGCGAAAGCGGCUCUCUGGUCUGUAACUGACGCUGAGGUUCGAAAGCGUGGGUAGCAAACAGGAUUAGAUACCCGGGUAGUC
rnacentral:rRNA from 1 species